UGCUAGUUGCACGAGUUCAGACUCGUAGCAUAUAGCUCAGUAACACGUGGCCAAACUACCCUACAGACCGCGAUAACCUCGGGAAACUGAGGCCAAUAGCGGAUAUAACUCUCAGGCUGGAGUGUCGAGAGUUAGAAACGUUCCGGCGCUGUAGGAUGUGGCUGCGGCCGAUUAGGUAGAUGGUGGGGUAACGGCCCACCAUGCCGAUAAUCGGUACAGGUUGUGAGAGCAAGAGCCUGGAGACGGUAUCUGAGACAAGAUACCGGGCCCUACGGGGCGCAGCAGGCGCGAAACCUUUACACUGCACGACAGUGCGAUAGGGGGACUCCGAGUGUGAGGGCAUAUAGCCCUCGCUUUUCUGUACCGUAAGGUGGUACAGGAACAAGGACUGGGCAAGACCGGUGCCAGCCGCCGCGGUAAUACCGGCAGUCCGAGUGAUGGCCGAUAUUAUUGGGCCUAAAGCGUCCGUAGCUUGCUGUGUAAGUCCAUUGGGAAAUCGACCAGCUCAACUGGUCGGCGUCCGGUGGAAACUACACAGCUUGGGGCCGAGAGACUCAACGGGUACGUCCGGGGUAGGAGUGAAAUCCUGUAAUCCUGGACGGACCACCAAUGGGGAAACCACGUUGAGAGACCGGACCCGACAGUGAGGGACGAAAGCCAGGGUCUCGAACCGGAUUAGAUACCCGGGUAGUCCUGGCUGUAAACAAUGCUCGCUAGGUAUGUCACGCGCCAUGAGCACGUGAUGUGCCGUAGUGA
rnacentral:rRNA from 1 species